rnacentral:rRNA from 1 species
GAACGCAUAUUGCGGCUACGGGGUAGCCCGUGGCCAUGUUUGUUCGAGGGUUGG